AUAAUUGAAUAAGGAACGGGUCUUUUUACCCCGAGGGGGAAAAGUGAAAAGGGAAGCCGGUGCAAAUCCGGCGCGGUCCCGCCACUGUAAAGGCGAGGCGCGGCACAAAGAGUCACUGGACAAUAUGUCCGGGAAGACGUGCCGGGUCGAUGAACCUGAGCCAGGAGACCUGCCCGUUCCAGAAACCGGAC
rnacentral:ncRNA from 2 species